GGCGGCGCAUGGAGAGUGCGGGCGGCUUCAAGCUGGGUAUGGAGCCCCUCAGCGGCGGCGGGGUCUGUGAGUUGGACGCGGGGUCUUGGCGGGGAAUGGAGGUAGAAUAAACGUGGGACCCGGAGUGCACCAAGAGUCUGACUCUGUCACCCAGGCUGGAGUGCAUUGGCAAGAUCCCAGCUCACUGCAACCUCUGCUUCUCAGGCUCAAGCCAUCCUCCCACUUCAGUCUCCCAAGUAGCCGGGACUAAAGGUGUGCACCACCAUGCACAGCUAAUCUUGGUAUUUUUUGUAGAGAUGGGGUUUCACCAUAUUUCACAGGCUGGUCUUAAACUCCUGAGCUCAAGUGAUCUGCCCACCUCGGCCUCCCAAUGUGCUGGGGAACUAUUUUCUGUUAUCUGUUCUGGACUCACACAUUCUGGAUGACUGGAAUUCUUUGGACCCAUAUGAGCCUCUGCAAAGACAUUGGUGAGAAAAAAAAAUUACUAAAAAUGACAAGUAGAAGACUUGAGGAGUCCAUGGGGGCUGUUCAGAUGGGAUUGGUCAAUAUGUUCAAAGGAUUUCAAAGCAAGGUUUUGCCACCCCUGAGUCCAAAGGUGGUUACAGAAGA
rnacentral:lncRNA from 10 species